rnacentral:rRNA from 1 species
GGCUAGAGAAGGGAUAAAACCACUUUUUAAUCUGCUGGUCAGUCGUCGACUACAUGUCAUGAUCCGAUGAUCGUCUUCGCGACCAUGUUCAACCGUCGCCGAACUCGUCCUCUCACACACAGAGACUGCACCGCCACACCCGUAUAUAGAACCGCAAGCGCCGCGUUGGCGUGUGGUUGCGACCGUCACGCAGUGGUGCUCCCGCUCCCGCCGGCCCAGGCAACUGGCAGCUGGAUCGAGGAGGACAGGACUCUUGGGACGCUUGACUACCCCACGAAGCGCAAGUUCCCGCCGUUCCCGGCAGCCGCGGGCCGGCCGCCGCCGUUCGGCGGCGGGCGCCUCGGAUUCGGCCUGCCCGGCUUCGCCUCGUUCCGCAGCAGCAGCAGCCGCAGCUGCGGCUGCUCCUCGUAGGUCCUCGACAGCCUCCUCGCCCCGCGCCGCGCCGACGCGCACAAGCCCGACCUCCUCGAGCCGUCGCGGUGGUUGCCGAAGUCGGCGCGCGAGUUCUAGCCGCUCCCGCCGAAGCCGAGGCAGAUGGCGCGGAAGAAGGCGAGGCGGCGGCCGCCGGCGCAGCAGGAGCGGCAGUUCGCGGAGUUGGUCGCGUCGGACGUCCCCGUGUUCGUCACCGAACGGCUCCACGUCAAGGACCCGCAGGACCUCGUGGGCUUGGACCACUUCGAGCACCCGAUGACGCGCCACCUGAGCCUCCGGCCGUUCGUGUCCGACGACCACAUGCUCAAGUACGGGUUGUUCUGGGACCUGCUGGUGGAGAAGUCGGCUCGGGUGGGCGGCGACGGGACCUCCUGCUCCGACGUCUAGUACCGGCCGCGGCGCGCGCCGGAGCUGAUGGAGGUGGCGCCGGAGGGCCUUCAGGUCCACUAUAUGUCCCUGAAGUUCCGCAGCUUGCACGAGGACCUGCCGCUCAAGGCCGGCUUCGACAGCCUGAAGCCCGACCGCUCCCUCCCCGGCUGCCUCCCCGCCUGCGUGCACAGCUGCCGCCACCACCCGUGCGUGCCGAUGCGCCGCGGCCUGAUGUAGCUCUGCCCCGUGGAGUGCCACUUCUCGCUGCACACCCCCAAGCCCCACCACGACAUGCUCUAGGACUGCCCCGCCGCCAGCCACCUCGCGUCGGCCGGCCGCCUCCUCGUCUUCGACGACCCCACCCACGCGGUCGUGGGCGGGCCUCCCCUGUCGAAGUCCUGGUAGUACCUGGGCGCCGACCCGCCCGCCAUGGGCGACCGGUGGCGCGCGCUCCGCCGCUCCGACCGCCUGGCCACGGAGCCGUUCUUGGGGUUCCUCGCCGGCCUGUACCGCCUCCAGCACCUCCUCGAGCUCGCGCACGACGCCUACCUCGGCCGGGGCCGCUGCGGGUUCGCCACUAGCUAGUAAGCUAAUUGCCGAUAACCGACGUGGUGACGUUCGUCCGCCCGCCUUAUGGUCAUCAGUCUUUAAGUCUUAGUCACUACUCCUCAGCGCCAAAGAGCCGUUUUUUGCUGUUUAAAUUAUCUUUUUUUUAAG